rnacentral:rRNA from 1 species
CUGAUGUGACUGCAGGACACAUGAACACCGACACGUUGAACGCAUAUGGCGCAUCGGACGUUUAAACCCGACCGAUGUACACAUUCUUGAGUGCCUAC